rnacentral:rRNA from 1 species
CCUACGGGCGGCUGCAGUGGGGAAUAUUGCACAAUGGGCGCAAGCCUGAUGCAGCCAUGCCGCGUGUGUGAAGAAGGCCCUCGGGUUGUAAAGCACUUUCAGCGGGGAGGAAGGCGGUGAGGUUAAUAACCUCAUCGAUUGACGUUACCCGCAGAAGAAGCACCGGCUAACUCCGUGCCAGCAGCCGCGGUAAUACGGAGGGUGCAAGCGUUAAUCGGAAUUACUGGGCGUAAAGCGCACGCAGGCGGUCUGUCAAGUCGGAUGUGAAAUCCCCGGGCUCAACCUGGGAACUGCAUUCGAAACUGGCAGGCUAGAGUCUUGUAGAGGGGGGUAGAAUUCCAGGUGUAGCGGUGAAAUGCGUAGAGAUCUGGAGGAAUACCGGUGGCGAAGGCGGCCCCCUGGACAAAGACUGACGCUCAGGUGCGAAAGCGUGGGGAGCAAACAGGAUUAGAUACCCUAGUAGUC